AAGUCGUAACAAGGUCUCCGUAGGUGAACCUGCGGAGGGAUCAUUAGUGAAUGGUCUUUGACCUUCUACCCUCAAACCUGUGGAAGUGAACGUGCUUCGGUGUCUUUUGACGUCGCUUUUAUGCAGCAAUGUGUAUGUGUCUGAAGCUUUUAAAAUGUCAAAACUUUCAACAAAGGAUCUCUUGGCUCUCGCAUCGAUGAAGAACGCAGCGAAGCGCGAAAUGUAGUGUGAAUCGCAGAACAUUGUGAAUCAUCGAAUCUUUGAACGCACAUUGUGCCUCUUGUUAGAGAGGCAUGCCUGUCUGAGUCUCAUUUAACCUAAAUCCAAUUAUGGGUUUGUGUUGGGCGUUUGCCCCUCGGCGUCGCCUCAAAGUCAUCUGGCUGACGAGUGGAGGAGAUCCCCUAGGACUGACCAUUUGUCUAGCCAUUAAAAGCAUCUCUGAUUUUGAGCUCAGAUCAGGUAGGACUACCGCCUGAACUUAA
rnacentral:rRNA from 1 species